UUUAUUCCACAUGCUUUGGAAUCAGGAUCAGGCUUGGCUUCCUAGAAGCAAAUCUGAGACAAAGAUUCGGAUACAAGGGUAUCUUUCAAAGCUGAUCUUAGUUACCCACUGGUAAGCAAUGUGGGUACAUGAUACAGAGAAGGAAAGGUCAGCACACUAUGCCAUCACAGACAGGCGUGGAGCUCAUUGCCAUGGAAACCUCAGAACUGGCCACCAAGAAGCAAGGCCCCUACGAUCUUUAUCCCCCAGUUCCCUUUUGUCACUGGUGGAUGGCUGCCCCCAAAAUUAUCUCUGCACCACAUCUGGCCUUCCAAGAGAAAGCCACCAGGCAAAGACUCAGAGGUGUUUGUAGCUGGACACCUGGGCACAAGCCAGAACAGUGACUGCCAACCAGGUAACCAGAAAUUCAGUGGUAAACAAUCCUGAGCUGCUUCAGUUGCACGUGUAUAUCAGCAAUAGGCAAGGCUUCUACACCUUGCUCCUUCAUUCUUAGAGUGCAUGUUUUGCCCUCAAGGCUGCUGAAUCUCCAGAGAUCGUGUCUGUAUUCUAAGAAGACAGUAGGGGCAAGGGCUUAUAAAGAAUCUGCCAAUCAGGUUUAAAAAUUUUUUUGCAAAGCCUCUCAGCAAAGCCUACUGUCUAUAUCUCACUAGAUAAAACUGGGGGGAUUGGCCAUCCCUCUCUUCAAGGAGGUCUUGGAUGAAAAGGAGGCCCGCUUCCCACUGAAUCCAAGAGAGAAUGAGAAAGCGCACCCAGAAGGGAAAUGGCAUUCCACCUAAUCGAGUCUCAGAAGUGAAGUCCAUCCCCUCGGCUAAAGCCACGUGUCAGAAGCAAGGCCGUAGGUCCAGCCCACACAAGGGCGUGAUCACCAUGGUCCCAGAGACCGGGGACCCUCUUGGAGGCUGCCUCCCCCAGAAGCACAAUCAUGCAUUACCUAACACCAGCAGAGGGGUCUUGGACAACACUUUUUAAUUUUAAAAACUUGAUGUUUCUGCAUCAAAACAUUUGAGCACUCAUGCUAAAUGGUAUAAAUAAUGACCACGAAUAGCC
ensembl:lncRNA